UACAGAGGUCUCAAGCGUUGUUCGGAUUCAUUGGGCGUAAAGGGUGCGUAGGCGGCGGGGUAAGUCUGAUGUGAAAUCCCGGGGCUCAACCCCGGAACUGCAUUGGAUACUGCCCUGCUUGAGUACUGGAGAGGAGACUGGAAUUUACGGUGUAGCAGUGAAAUGCGUAGAGAUCGGGAGGAACACCAGUGGCGAAGGCGGCUACCUGGACCAGCACUGACACUGAGGCACGAAAGCGUGGGGAGCAAACAGG
rnacentral:rRNA from 1 species